GUACACUGGUUAGUGUUACUUAGUACUGUAUUUCUAAGGAAACCGAGCUUGCUGAUGGGACAGAAGAGGGAGACAAUUUUCAACGUCAUUUUCCUCUAACUGUAUGGUCUCUCUCACAGGUAUACAAGGACCCCAGAACCUUAACACAAUUCUGAGGUGGAAGAAAUGGGGAACACCAGGCCUGGCCUCAUGGAGACCGGGGAGUCAGAACCUGAGCUCUGGCUCCUGGAGCUGCUGUGAGUGAGUGGUGGAAACCUGCCCCCUUAGAGAAGCUGCAGCUGAUCAGCAUCAUGCAAGGGACUGCUGAGAUGGUAGCAUGCUGGUAAUGAAGUGUUAUGGAGCCACUCCAUCCUUUAUUCAUCCUUUUCCUCAUACACACAGAGAGCAAAGCACAGGAACCAGCUACAGAAUUUGCAAGUGGAGAAUCCAGUGGGUGGGCCUUCUCCAAUCAGGCCUUAAGAGCAAAGACCAUGGUUUCUCAAAGAAAGAAUUUUCCUCAAGACUGCAACAUAGAGACCUUGCCUGAGUUUCCAGCCUGAUACCCUGAAGAAUUUGGACUCAAGACUGCAAUAUCAGCUCUUUCCUGAAUUUCUAGCCUGCUGGCCUGCCCUACAGAUUUUAGAUCUCCCAGCCCCAUUGCAUGAGCUAAUUCCUUAAAAUAAAUAAAUCUCUGUGUGUGUAUGUGUGCUGUAA